rnacentral:rRNA from 1 species
ACUCCUACGGGAGGCAGCAGUGGGGAAUAUUGCACAAUGGGCGCAAGCCUGAUGCAGCCAUGCCGCGUGUGUGAAGAAGGCCUUCGGGUUGUGAAGCAACUUUCAGUCGUGAGGAAGGUAGUGUAGUUAAUAGCUGCAUUCAUUUGACGUUAGCGACAGAAGAAGCACCGGCUAACUCCGUGCCAGCAGGCCGCGGUAAUACGGAGGGUGCGAGCGUUAAUCGGAAUUACUGGGCGUAAAGGCGCAUGCAGGUGGUUUGUUAAGUCAGAUGUGAAAGCC